GAUGAACGCUGGCGGCGUGCCUAAUACAUGCAAGUCGAGCGAACAGACGAGGAGCUUGCUCCUCUGACGUUAGCGGCGGACGUGUGAGUAACACGUGUAUAACCUACCUAUAAGACUGGUAUAACUUCGGGAAACCGGAGCUAAUACCGGAUAAUAUAUUGAACCGCAUGGUUCAAUAGUGAAAGACGGUUUUGCUGUCACUUAUAGAUGGAUCCGCGCCGCAUUAGCUAGUUGGUAAGGUAACGGCUUACCAAGGCAACGAUGCGUAGCCGACCUGAGAGGGUGAUCGGCGACAUUGGAACUGGGACACGGUCCAGACUCCUACGGGAGGCAGCAGUAGGGAAUCUUCCGCAAUGGGCGAAAGCCUGACGGAGCAACGCCGAGUGAGUGAUGAAGGUCUUCGGAUCGUAAAACUCUGUUAUUAGGGAAGAACAAAUGUGUAAGUAACUAUGCACGUCGUGACGGUACCUAAUCAGAAAGCAACGGCUAACUACGUG
rnacentral:rRNA from 1 species